UGGCUGGAGACAAAGACGGAAGGAUUUGUGGAGGAAAACAGUGGAGGCAGAGAGCAGCUAAGAGACUACUGCGGAAAUGGUUCCUGAACUGCAGCAUAGCUCAGCAAGGUGACUGGAUGAGUCUCAGCUGGGAGUUUACACACCCUGUGGACAGAAAGAAGACAAAGAUGCACUUCUCAACAGAUACUGCUCUGUCAUCACCAAAUCUUGAAAAUAACUCUACACAGUAGACAUCGUUAUCUCUGCCUUAUAGAUGAAGAAACUGAGGCUCAAAGGGUUCAGCUAACUCGCCCAAGGCCAUACUCGGGAAAGCGGUGGACUUGGAAUUCAUCAUUAAAGCCAUCUCACUCUGAGGCCAGUGUCCUUCUGAUUUCCUACAGGGCGCCUUGAACGUGUUCUGGGGCAUAAUCCUGGGCUCACAGUGGGGCUGGGAUUAGAAUUCUGCACAAAAUGCUUCCUAAUCAUUUUCCUGUCAGAGGGCCUCCACUUUACUUAGUACCAAAC
rnacentral:lncRNA from 1 species